rnacentral:lncRNA from 1 species
AUGAGUAGGGCUGUGGCCCUGGAUGGAGUACUGCGUGUCUCUGAGAGGCCUGAGGUAACCUGUGUUGCUCAGUUUUCUAAAACAGAUAAGCCCUGUUCCAUCAUGAGCACUGAAGAACCAACCUCAAGUACUGAAGAUGGGGAGGAGAAGAGCAUGCCGGGCCAAUCAAAUGAUAAAGAAAAUGAAAAGUUUUCUAAAACAGAUAAGCCCUGUUCCAUCAUGAGCACUGAAGAGCCAACCUCAAGCCCGGAAGAGGGGGAGGAGAGCAUGCCGGGCCAAUCAACCGAUAAAGAAAAUGAAAAGUUUUCUCAAUCAGAUAAUCCCCAUUCCGUUGUGAACACUGAAGAGCCAACCUCAAGUGCUGAAGAUGGGGAGGAGCAGAGCAUGCCCGACCAAUUGGAUGAUAAAGAAAAGGAAAAGAUUCAGAAGAUACUCUCGAAGGUGAAGUUAACUGUCCAACAAAAUCCUCAAGCUGUCAACAAAACCAAAAAACCAACAAUAUUAGUAUUUUACUAUAGGAAUAAGAAGAAAUCUGAAGUUGCCAACAAGUAA